ACUCCUGCGGGAGGCAGCAGUGGGGAAUAUUGCACAAUGGGCGCAAGCCUGAUGCAGCCAUGCCGCGUGUAUGAAGAAGGCCUUCGGGUUGUAAAGUACUUUCAGCGGGGAGGAAGGCGAUAAGGUUAAUAACCUUGUCGAUUGACGUUACCCGCAGAAGAAGCACCGGCUAACUCCGUGCCAGCAGCCGCGGUAAUACGGAGGGUGCAAGCGUUAAUCGGAAUUACUGGGCGUAAAGCGCACGCAGGCGGACUGUCAAGUCGGAUGUGAAAUCCCCGGGCUCAACCUGGGAACUGCAUUCGAAACUGGCAGGCGAGAGUCUUGUAGAGGGGGGUAGAAUUCCAGGUGUAGCGGUGAAAUGCGUAGAGAUCUGGAGGAAUACCGGUGGCGAAGGCGGCCCCCUGGACAAAGACUGACGCUCAGGUGCGAAAGCGUGGGGAGCAAACAGGAUUAGAAACCCGUGUAGUCCCAUGA
rnacentral:rRNA from 1 species